GUUCAGUUAGCGUCAGAGAAAAGUAUUAAGUUCGACUGUUUGGCAAGGCUGACUCGUGGUUGUAAACAGUCAGGACUUGUCACACCGUACACAGCAUACUGUAGUACUGAACUCCUCCACAGAAGUGAAAACAAGAAACCUCAUAACUGGAUACAUGCAUCGAACUCAUCGCAGCUUUAACUUCUACCAAAUAUCAUUCAGACCUGGGCUCAUCUUAAUAUCAGAUGAACGAAAGGGAUUGCCGCGCGUAUUGUUGUUGUUAUUAUAUUACGGUAUAUCAUCAAAAGCAGAGAAUAUCUUCUCUAAAGCGUUUUACACGUCCAUCUUACCAUUGCUUGUAAGCUGGAUUGGGUAAGAUGGAUCAUCUUUAAAGGCACCAGGAGUUAAGGCAGAUGUGGAGGCACAACGGGUGAUACCAGACACACACCAAGCACAUUAUGUUUGGACAUUCAAUCAUGACAUGAUCCAGGUGGAUGCUGUCCAUUGAGGAAAGAGUUUGUUCAGCGGUUUCUGGAUAGAAUUAAUUCCAAAGAUGGGAAAAAGUGCACAUCCAGACAAGGAGCAAGCAAAAAGACAAGGAACUUGGUGCAGAGAAAAGCUGUGGCCAUUAACCCCUGUGAACAGCUUCAUGCAGUCGCUGAUUGAGUUCGAAUGGACGACUUCAGUAAAGGCCACUGUGGUCUGUCUGCCACAGUUUAAUUUUUAAUUUAUUUUUAGUGUUCAAUGAAAUUCAAGUAGAAUAUUUAAAACUAUGGGCCAGUGUUGUUUUUACCACGGUGAAAUGUUACCUUUUAGUCGAUGAUGGACUUUAAACUGAAAACUUCAAACUAUGGAACAGUGUUCUAUUUGCCAGAGUUAAAUAUGUUACAGCAGGGGUCUCCAAACUUGUUUAUACUUGUUGAUUUUAUUUUAUGUUACUUGAUUAUAUGUUUA